CUACGGGCGGCACCAGUGGGGAAUUUUGGACAAUGGGCGCAAGCCUGAUCCAGCCAUGCCGCGUGAGUGAAGAAGGCCUUCGGGUUGUAAAGCUCUUUCAGGUGGGAAGAAACGGUUAAUGUUAAUAGCAUUGACUACUGACGGUACCACCAGAAGAAGCACCGGCUAACUACGUGCCAGCAGCCGCGGUAAUACGUAGGGUGCGAGCGUUAAUCGGAAUUACUGGGCGUAAAGGGUGCGCAGGCGGUUUUGUAAGCCAGAUGUGAAAUCCCCGGGCUCAACCUGGGAACUGCAUUUGGGACUGCAAGGCUAGAGUACGGCAGAGGGGGGUAGAAUUCCACGUGUAGCAGUGAAAUGCGUAGAUAUGUGGAGGAAUACCGAUGGCGAAGGCAGCCCCCUGGGUCGAUACUGACGCUCAGGCACGAAAGCGUGGGGAGCAAACAGGAUUAGAUACCCGGGUAGUC
rnacentral:rRNA from 1 species